rnacentral:rRNA from 1 species
CCUACGGGUGGCAGCAGUGAGGAAUAUUGGUCAAUGGACGAGAGUCUGAACCAGCCAAGUAGCGUGAAGGAUGACUGCCCUAUGGGUUGUAAACUUCUUUUAUAAAAGAAUAAAACGAGGCACGUGUGCCUUUUUGCAUGUACUUUAUGAAUAAGGAUCGGCUAACUCAGUGCCAGCAGCCGCGGUAAUACGGAGGAUCCGAGCGUUAUCCGGAUUUAUUGGGUUUAAAGGGAGCGUAGAUGGGUUGUUAAGUCAGUGGUGAAAGGUUGCGGCGCAAACGUGAAAUUGCAAUUGAUACUGGCAGUCUUGAGUACAGUUGAGGUAGGCGGAAUGCGUGGUGUAGCGGUGAAAUGCUUAGAGAUCACGAAGAACCCCGAUUGCGAAGGCAGCUUACUAAACUGUGACUGACAUUGAUGCUCGAAAGUGUGGGUAUCAAACAGGAUUAGAUACCCGAGUAGUC